UUUAGGUCUUGACGAAAGGGUGUUCCAAGCGAAGAGUUCCCAAAUCUUAGUAAGCUGGAAAGGUGGUUUUAUUUUUUUUCAGCAUCACUUCAUUAAUCUGAAUGUAAAACUAUAGAAAAAAUAAUGUCUAAUUUAGCUAGAAAAUAACACUCAUUUGCUUGCUAAGGUCUAGCAACAAAAGAAUGUUAAUGCACAUUACUACCUAUGACUACAACAGAGAACACAAAAUGAAAUGAACAGAUGCUGAUUUACCUUCUCUGGUGAAUCAUGCAUGGCACGAAACUGCAAUCCUGAAGCAAGCUAGACCAUCUGUGCUGUUUUCUCCAGAUGAGCCAAAUUUGAUGACAAACCAUUCUCCAUAUAUGGGAGUUUUUCUUUCUUUCUUUUUCCCCAUUUUAUAUUAGAAAGUAUAGUUUCUCCAAUAGAAGAUGCAGAAAACUAUUUUGCAUCUUCUACUAUCUUGCUAAAUAUUUUGACUCUGAGCCUGGAGAAAGCAGUCUGGAAAUUAAAUAUAACUUCAAAAAAGACAUCUUUUCAGAACUUGCAUUCCUCAAUUAUUCUCUCCAUCCAUACGCAAGCUGUUCUGGGAAAUAGGAUGACCCAGAAAGUGACAAAGCAUGAAGACUGAAGACGACAGGAAUUUUAUAUUUAGUAACAUUUUGGCUGCAUAGGCCCCUGACAGUCUGAUUCCGAGUUCCUGUUCUAGGACUCUUCACAAUUGUUCUCUGGGAACGCAGAUGGACAGUGACUCUGGGCUCUGCGUGCUCAGAAGGGGUCAUUCCCACUAGGCAGCUACCGCUGUGCUGGGCCUCACCACUAUACAGACGAUGCUACCCUAGGCUUGGCUUCAGCUUCUAAAACCUGGGACUUCAUUAUACCACUGAGGAACUGGGAAACCAGAGGCCACGGUAACUUCCACUUUUGAAAUUGUGCGAGGGUUUGUAAAUGAAAUGGGGCUACAGCAAUGUGUAUUCUUACUCUCCACUGCAUUAUAAAGCACCAUACGCACCAGCUUGUUUUUGUGUAUUUAUUUUGAACCAAGUAAGAAUAUCCAAGGUCCAGCAGUUAACUAAACCUUCUAUAUAGCUCAUCCCAGAAACACACACCACCCCAAAGUCUUUAUAGCAACCAGGCUCAACCUCAUAGGUUUGUUUUCAAGUUUUGCUUUCUUCAAACUAGACCUUCGCAGGGAAAUAUUAUAUAACUAUGGUGCUCAGUUCACCAAAAUUUCUGCUAUUCUCACUUUGGGGAAGAAAAAAAUAUUUUCAUUUUGAAAAUGAAUUUGCAUCAGAAUGCUCUUAUUAACAUGCCCAUUAACUAAUCUAAAUGUCUUUAUACACCUCAGGCAUAUGCAUAUCUUAUAGGAGGAGGAUUAGGGAAUAGCAGUUUUCUUCCUUCCCCUGCUCCAAAAGUGCUACUUAGGGAAAUACAUCCUUUGUGAUUAAAAAAAAAAAAAAAAAUUGUAUGGUACAUGUGCAAGUUCUAUUCCUGGUAAGAAUAAAACUGUGUCCAGUAAUCAGGAUAACGCAGGUGCUAACAUUUGCACACGACACCACAAUAACCACGUAGUAAAUAACAUACUCCAUUUGCACAUAGCAGACACGUGUAGAAAUCAGAAAACUAAGAACCUACUCAGUCAAUUCAAAUAUACUGGCUUUUGUGUGUAUACAUAUCUCAAAUGGAAACCUAUAAAAUAUCUGACCCACAUUUUACAUCUAAAUUUCUCUUCUUCCUUUCCCUUGUAUUUUAGCUUAAAGAUACUAAUUUUUCAGUAAUAUAAACCAUGUGAGAACACUAGGAAUUUGAACUGGAGCAAAAAAAAAAAAAAAAAAAAAAAAAAA